UACGUAGGGGGCAAGCGUUGUCCGGAAUCAUUGGGCGUAAAGCGCGUGUAGGCGGCCUUGUAAGUCCGUUCUGAAAGUCCGGGGCUCAACCCCGGGAGGCGGAUGGAUACUGCAAGGCUCGAGUACGGAAGAGGCGAGUGGAAUUCCCGGUGUAGCGGUGAAAUGCGCAGAUAUCGGGAGGAACACCAAUGGCGAAGGCAGCUCGCUGGGACGUUACUGACGCUGAGACGCGAAAGCGUGGGGAGCAAACAGG
rnacentral:rRNA from 1 species